GGCGGCGUGCCUAAUACAUGCAAGUCGAACGAACUCUGGUAUUGAUUGGUGCUUGCAUCAUGAUUUACAUUUGAGUGAGUGGCGAACUGGUGAGUAACACGUGGGAAACCUGCCCAGAAGCGGGGGAUAACACCUGGAAACAGAUGCUAAUACCGCAUAACAACUUGGACCGCAUGGUCCGAGUUUGAAAGAUGGCUUCGGCUAUCACUUUUGGAUGGUCCCGCGGCGUAUUAGCUAGAUGGUGGGGUAACGGCUCACCAUGGCAAUGAUACGUAGCCGACCUGAGAGGGUAAUCGGCCACAUUGGGACUGAGACACGGCCCAAACUCCUACGGGAGGCAGCAGUAGGGAAUCUUCCACAAUGGACGAAAGUCUGAUGGAGCAACGCCGCGUGAGUGAAGAAGGGUUUCGGCUCGUAAAACUCUGUUGUUAAAGAAGAACAUAUCUGAGAGUAACUGUUCAGGUAUUGACGGUAUUUAACCAGAAAGCCACGGCUAACUACGUGCCAGCAGCCGCGGUAAUACGUAGGUGGCAAGCGUUGUCCGGAUUUAUUGGGCGUAAAGCGAGCGCAGGCGGUUUUUAAGUCUGAUGUGAAGCCUUCGGCUCACCGAAGAAGUGCAUCGGAAACUGGGAAACUUGAGUGCAGAAGAG
rnacentral:rRNA from 2 species